UGGGGAAUAUUGGACAAUGGAGGAAACUCUGAUCCAGCAAUUCUGUGUGUGUGAAGAAGGUUUUAGGACUGUAAAACACUUUUAGUAGGGAAGAAAAAAAUGACGGUACCUACAGAAGAAGCAACGGCUAAAUACGUGCCAGCAGCCGCGGUAAUACGUAUGUUGCGAGCGUUAUCCGGAAUUAUUGGGCUUAAAGGGCAUCUAGGCGGUAAGACAAGUUGAAGGUGAAAACCUGUGGCUCAACCAUAGGCUUGCCUACAAAACUGUUGAACUAGAGUACUGGAAAGGUGGGUGGAACUACACGAGUAGAGGUGAAAUUCGUAGAUAUGUGUAGUAAUGCCGAUGAUGAAGAUAACUCACUGGACAGAAACUGACGCUGAAGUGCGAAAGCUAGGGGAGCAAACAGG
rnacentral:rRNA from 1 species